rnacentral:rRNA from 1 species
GGAUAACCUGCCCUUGGGUCCGGCAUAACCCCNGGGAAACUGGGGAUAAUUCCCGGAUAACGCACAUAUGCUGGAAUGCUUUAUGCGUCAAAUGGAUUCGUCUGCCCAAGGAUGGGUCUGCGGCCUAUCAGGUAGUAGUGGGUGUAAUGUACCUACUAGCCGACGACGGGUACGGGUUGUGAGAGCAAGAGCCCGGAGAUGGAUUCUGAGACAUGAAUCCAGGCCCUACGGGGCGCAGCAGGCGCGAAAACUUUACAAUGCGGGAAACCGUGAUAAGGGGACACCGAGUGCCAGCGUCAUACGCUGGCUGUCCAGAUGUGUAAAAUACAUCUGUUAGCAAGGGCCGGGCAAGACCGGUGCCAGCCGCCGCGGUAACACCGGCGGCCCGAGUGGUGAUCGUGAUUAUUGGGUCUAAAGGGUCCGUAGCCGGUUUGGUCAGUCCUCCGGGAAAUCUGAUAGCUCAACUGUUAGGCUUUCGGGGGAUACUGCCAGACUUGGAACCGGGAGAGGUAAGAGGUACUACAGGGGUAGGAGUGAAAUCUUGUAAUCCCUGUGGGACCACCUGUGGCGAAGGCGUCUUACCAGAACGGGUUCGACGGUGAGGGACGAAAGCUGGGGGCACGAACCGGAUUAGAUACCCGGGUAGUCCCAGCCGUAAACGAUGCUCGUUAGGUGUAUCGAUGACCACGAGUCAUCGAGGUGCCGAAGGGAAACCGUGAAACGCGCCGCCUGGGAAGUACGGCCGCAAGGCUGAAACUUAA